CGUUCUUCUCGCAGAGGUGAGAUGCUGAGGCGUAAUGUCACAACGUGUGUAAACAAGACUAUUGGUAUAAAAAUGAGAGAUUAGAUGCAAGUAGGUUGGUAUAAAUACAUUGCAGUAUCAUAUCCUUGCUUCACAUCAAAAAGAUUACGAUGAAGCCUUUGAACUUCUACAUUGCCACAUUCUUGAUCCUUUGCACUUUUGCAGUUGAGUCGAUGCGUAUAUCAGGAGUGUCACAGGACAACGUUUAUUUAAGUCUAUCGGACAUGCGCAGUCAAGAUGCAACGCCACAAUACAAAACCCCAGAAAAUAUAGAGAAAGACAUUCAAGCCAUAAAGGAAAGAAAGAAAUUGUUAAAACUUCUAAAAUCAAGCGGUAAAAAAGCUGAAUUGAACGAGUUUAAAGGAUUGUGGGGAAAACGUUCCUUCUUUUAAGUUGACUAGCAAAACCUGGACAGUUUUAAUGUAUUUCUUUAUUUACUUCUUAAAAAUAUAUUUCAUUUUAAUA